AAUUAUUUUGUAAAAAUUUUGUUCGAAAAUUUCGACGUUUGGGCACUCAAUUUAGUCAAAAGGACUAAAUUGUAAAAAGUGCAAAAGUUGAGUUCUACAAGUUAGAGGUGUCUAAUUAUUAUGAAAUUUUAAAUUGGAGGUCCUUAAAUGGUAAUUAGACCAUUGGUUAUUUAUGGACAAAAAUAGACAUGGUUAGUAAGUAAGCUAUUUAAGGGCAUUUUGGUAAAAUGCCUUAAUUAAUGAAUAAAGACAAAAUAGCAUGAAAUAAAUUAUCAUCUUCUUCAAUUCUUUUCUUCAUGGCCGUAUGUAGCAAGGGAACACCAUGGCUAGGGUUUGUUCAUCUUCCAAGCUUCAUGACAGGGAUGACUCUGCUAGAGGGCCACAUGCAUAAGGGCUUAUACAGAUUUUAGUUUUCAAAGUCUGCUCCCAACACUGCCAGUUCUACUUCAAAGCCUAGCUCAUUUUUGCUGAACAAUGCUCAGAUUUCAUCUGUUUCUUUGUGGCACAACAAGCUUGGCCAUCCUUGCCAUAUCGCAUUUGCUCAUGUGUUAAAAUCUUGAAAAAUUCUUUUCAAACAAAGUAGUUUGCCUCGAAUAUGUACAGCUUAUCAGUUAGGCAAGGCUCACAAGCUACUUUUUCCUUCUUUACAUACAAUGUACUCUUUCCUUUUUGAACUUGUGGUAUCUGACAUAUGAGGACCAGCUCAUAUGACUUCAAAUGGUUUCUCUUAUUACGUUUCUUUUGUUGACAUGUAUAGCAGAUACGCUUGGAUUUAUUUUCUCAAAAACAAGUCUGAGGUGGUGCAGUGUUUUUUAAAUUUUUAUCAGAUGGUUAAAGUUCAAUUUGGUCA